rnacentral:lncRNA from 10 species
UUCUGCCAUGAUUGGAAGUUUCCUGAAGCCUCCCAGCCAUGCGGAACUUUCUGGAGGCUGGAAGUCCAAGAUCAAGGUGCUAUCAGGGUUGGUUUCGGCUGUGGCCUCUCUUCCUGGCUUGUAGACAGCUAUCUUCUCGCAGUGUCCUCACGUGGCCUCUUUGUGUGAAGCAACAGCUCCAUAUGUUGAUGUGAACUGUGACUCCAGGAGAACGGUGGAAAAGUGUCUUGAUCCAGGAAGGAAGGGGUAUAGAGAAAAUAUGAGUCUCACCACACUAGAAGCAACAUAUGCAAAAUCCAUCAAACACACCAUAAAAUCAAUGUGGGAGUAACAACACCUUGGCCUACUGCUCCCUGAAAAGUUUUUCUCUCGUCAAGUGAUGACAGGCGUACAUUUGUAAAUAAAUUACCAAGUUGCUUUUGAUUUGAUGGAGAAGGAAGAAAAGGAUUGUCUCCUGGAAGUAUUUUUAUUGUCUUAAUAGGUAGGAUAAUAUCUCUGUUCAGCAAACUGAGAUCUUUUGAGAAUCUUAACAAAUGUAUACCCCUCCCUCUCACCUUUUCCUCUCUGGUGUAUUUCAUAGGCAGCUUUGCUAACUGACUGCACUACUACAAAUAGAUUCUGUCACUUUAGAAAUAGGAUUUUUCCUUUUAUAGGCAGAUUGAUGGACUAAGUGUCAAGGUUUUAGAACAGUAGCAUGACUGGGGCAGACACUAUAAACCAUAAAUCCAGUAUUGACAAAUGUUCUAGCCAAUCCAGAUUUUCUAUUUGUUAAAUUGCCUUUAUGAAGUCAUACUUGUGCAGCACAGAAUAUGGAAAAUAAUUGACAAGUUCUGAGAAGCCAGUUACUGAGCUCAUAGUUUAAUAAAGAAAAUGUUAAUG